rnacentral:rRNA from 1 species
UAAUACAUGCAAGUCGAGCGCACUUUCGGGCGAGCGGCGGACUGGUGAGUAACGCGUGGGAACGUGCCCUUUGGUACGGGAUAACUGAGGGAAACUUCAGCUAAUACCGUAUGUGCCCUACGGGGGAAAGAUUUAUCGCCAUUGGAGCGGCCCGCGUUGGAUUAGGUAGUUGGUGGGGUAAAGGCCCACCAAGCCGACGAUCCAUAGCUGGUCUGAGAGGAUGAUCAGCCACACUGGGACUGAGACACGGCCCAGACUCCUACGGGAGGCAGCAGUAGGGAAUCUUGCGCAAUGGGCGAAAGCCUGACGCAGCCAUGCCGCGUGAAUGAUGAAGGUCUUAGGAUUGUAAAAUUCUUUCACCGGGGAAGAUAAUGACGGUACCCGGAGAAGAAGCCCCGGCUAACUUCGUGCCAGCAGCCGCGGUAAUACGAAGGGGGCUAGCGUUGCUCGGAAUUACUGGGCGUAAAGGGCGCGUAGGCGGAUGUUUAAGUCGGGGGUGAAAGCCCGGGGCUCAACCUCGGAAUUGCCUUCGAUACUGGACAUCUUGAGUACGGGAGAGGUGAGUGGAACUCCGAGUGUAGAGGUGAAAUUCGUAGAUAUUCG